rnacentral:tRNA from 1 species
GGAGGAAUGGCGGAGUGGUCGAACGCGGCGGUCUUGAAAACCGUUGUCCCUUCGCGGGACCGGGGGUUCGAAUCCCUCUUCCUCCG